rnacentral:rRNA from 1 species
GACGAACGCUGGCGGCGUGCUUAACACAUGCAAGUCGAACGGAAAGGCCCUGCUUUUGUGGGUUGCUCGAGUGGCGAACGGGUGAGUAACACGUGAGUAACCUGCCCUUUACUUUGGGAUAACUUCAGGAAACUGGGGCUAAUACCGGAUAGGAGCUCCUGCUGCAUGGUGGGGGUUGGAAAGUUUCGGCGGUUGGGGAUGGACGCGCGGCUUAUCAGCUUGUUGGUGGGGUAGUGGCUUACCAAGGCUUUGACGGGUAGCCGGCCUGAGAGGGUGACCGGCCACAUUGGGACUGAGAUACGGACCAGACUCGUACGGGAGGCAGCAGUGGGGAAUAUUGCACAAUGGGCGGAAGCCUGAUGCAGCAACGCCGCGUGCGGGAUGACGGCCUUCGGGUUGUAAACCGCUUUCGCCUGUGACGAAGCGUGAGUGACGGUAAUGGGUAAAGAAGCACCGGCUAACUACGUG